rnacentral:misc_RNA from 1 species
GUGAAUCAUCAAAUUUUUGAACGCAAAUUGCGCUUCCUGGUAUCCCGGGAAGUAUGCCUGUUUGAGGGUCAGUAGUAAUAAAAAAUCGGUCUAGUUACAAAUUGUGACGUUUCCGGCUUUUGGGCUAUCUUAACAUUUUUGGUUAAGAGGCGUAAAAUUGACCUUGUUUGCGAAUUCUUAAACGUACUUACAUUUUUUUUAUCCGUCU